rnacentral:lncRNA from 1 species
AGUGGCUAGCGUGAGGUACUUCCGUAGCGCCGGUGUGCACAGCACCAGUAUGGCGCGAGCCGCGGUGGUGACAGUAUCCCUGUUGCUGCUCUCUGUCUCAAGCGUUCCAGAGGGCGGUUCGUUGUUACAGCCAUGGAGAAAGACAACGCAAGCAACGGUAACGAAGACUUUGGGGAUACAAUAAGAAGAUGCUUGAGUAGCAGUGCUAUGGGCAACUCCACUCAAGAGGAGGAAGCGUUAGACAGCGCAAUAAUAACCGAGUUUACUGUAAAUAAGUCUAUCGCUGAAGUCAAUAAUGAAAAUAGUGAUAACCUCAACAGUGAUAACGGGAACAGGCGCCAAUAGACAACCGGACGUCAUGCUGUUAGACAACCUGCUAACAGCAUGCCACUGGACUGCUAACAGCAUGCCACUGGACUGCUAACAGCAUGUCACUGGACUGCUAACAGCAUGCCCCCGGACUGCUAACAGCAUGCCACUGGACUGCUAACAGCAUGCCACUGGACUGCUAACAGCAUGCCACUGGACUGCUAACAGCAUGCCACUGGACUGCUAACAGCAUGCCACUGGACUGCUAACAGCAUGCCACUGGACUGCUAACAGCAUGCCACUGGACUGCUAACAGCAUGCCACUGGACUGCUAACAGCAUGCCACUGGACUGCUAACAGCAUGCCACUGGACUGCUAACAGCAUGCCACUGGACUGCUAACAGCAUGCCACUGGACUGCUAACAGCAUGUCACUGGACUGCUAACAGCAUGUCACUGGACUGCUAACAGCAUGCCCCCGGACUGCUAACAGCAUGCCACUGGACUGCUAACAGCAUGCCCCCGGACUGCUAACAGCAUGCCACUGGACUGCUAACAGCAUGCCACUGGACUGCUAACAGCAUGCCACCGGACUGCUAACAGCAUGCCACUGGACUGCUAACAGCAUGCCACCGGACUGCUAACAGCAUGCCACUGGACUGCUAACAGCAUGCCACUGGACUGCUAACAGCAUGCCACUGGACUGCUAACAGCAUGCCACUGGACUGCUACCAGAGUUCUGUUGGAAAUUACAUUAGUGAACAAGUCUGCUACCUGCAAUUGCCGAUUUUAGAAAAGAACAGAAUUGCGUCCGAGUUUCCCAUAAGUGUAAGUUUUCAUUUAUGGUUUAGGUUGUGUUACUUUCAGAAGAUGAUAAAUUGAGCAUUUCUUUCGUAUUUCUUCAAAAUUAUUGGGGUUAUUACUUGCUAAUAACCUCAAUCUUGAAGGGUUAUUAGCAAGUAAUAACCCCAAUAUGUAUACAUAAUCAUAAUACAUUAAAUUAUCAAACUUGUUGCACUUUACUCACACACAGUUUGUCGUAAUUAACGGGCUCUCGGUUCAGAAUCUUCUCUCAGGAGCCAUAUACAAAGCAUUAAAGUUACUAACUUCCAAAAGGAGAAAACGAGAGGAGAUACGAAUAUAACUGCAAUGUGCAAAUGCACGAAGGACUUGCAUUGUAAGUAAUGCAAGAUGGAAUCGAGAUGGAACUCAUCCCAAAGGAUUAUAACUCGAUAUAUUUAAUAUCAAACAAGAUAUAGAUUUUUGGGGGGGAGAAUGAACAUGAAAAAGGGUGGAAGAUACUGACAGUACCCUUGAUUUAGUUAAUACUUUAGUAACUUAAACAAAGCAAAGACUGAUACCUGAGGAAAAGUAGAGGUUAUAAAUAGGACCAGAUGUACAUAAAUAAAUUGGCUUUCUGCAGUUUUCCUGCAGUGCUUGAGAUAUGUAAUUUAAUUCCAUGUCUAUUGACAACUUCAGAGUGCAGAUACGGCCAUAUUCACAAGCCUCUGGGUUGAUAUAGUGUAGCAGUGUUGAUAUAGUUGGUUGAUAUAGAUACCAGUGUUGAUAUAGUUGGUUGAUAUAGACGUAUUGUACACAAAUGUGCCUUUAUAUAUAUUUUGUAUCCAUGGGAUAUGACCUAAAUUAA